rnacentral:rRNA from 1 species
UACGUAGGGGGCUAGCGUUGUCCGGAAUCAUUGGGCGUAAAGCGCGUGUAGGCGGCCCGGUAAGUCCGCUGUGAAAGUCGGGGGCUCAACCCUCGAAAGCCGGUGGAAACUGUCUGGCUAGAGUCCGGAAGAGGAGAAUGGAAUUCCUGGUGUAGCGGUGAAAUGCGCAGAUAUCAGGAAGAACACCCGUGGCGAAGGCGGUUCUCUGGGACGGUACUGACGCUGAGACGCGAAAGCGUGGGGAGCGAACAGG